rnacentral:lncRNA from 1 species
UUGAAAACUCAUUAACACUGAAAAUAAUUAAUAAGUACUCGUUGACAAAAUGACCAAACAUCAAUCCAAAUUAAUCAAAUGAAUGUAAAUUGACCAGAAAUUAUUUAAGAAUAUACUACGAUAGGAAAAAACAAACAAACAGAGGUAAGCACAAUUCUAUCAAACUAAUGGAAGCAUCCAGUAAAUACUCAACAAAAAUUAUUCUUACCUUCUCCAUUUCUAUAAGAAACUGAAGCAAAUAUGAUUUAUUCUACACAAUCUUUCCUCAAAUUCUCCCAAUUUUUCCCUUGGCAUGCGAGGAAAAUGAAAAUGAAGCAAUAAGAGGAAAAUGGAGCUCAGCAACACAAUCUGAGCUAGAGCAGCUUCAAAACACUCAUGAAUUCGAGCUUCAAAUAGCCCACAUCUCAGUCAAAUCCGGACCCACUUCCGAUAUUUCAAGAGAAAUUUAUAUUUUGCCAAAAUUCGAAAUGAAAAGUGAACAAGUAUUUCCUUUUGUUUACUUUUGUUGCGUUUUUCUUCAUUUUUUCUUUUGAAGAAUACCCAGAUGAGAGAAAGAGAUUGAAAAGCCUCAAAGAAUAUCCAUCACAAUCCUUGCUCUCUUUUUCUUCCCAUUUUACUCGAUGUGUCAGUGUGCCUUUCAAGAAAAUAAAGAUGGACACGAAGUGAGAUUUCUCUGGUGUGUAUAUUGAAGAAUGCUGAAGAACGAGAAAGGGGGAAGCCUCUGGUUUUUCUCUAGAAUAGUGAAGAGAAAAUGGGUAUUGCAGCUUUUUCGAAGAGAGAUCCGCCGUUCUAG